UGCCUAUAGUGCUUCUUUCUGUUGGUGUGA
rnacentral:piRNA from 1 species